rnacentral:rRNA from 1 species
AACGCUAGCUACAGGCUUAACACAUGCAAGUCGAGGGGCAGCAUCAUCAAAGCUUGCUUUGAUGGAUGGCGACCGGCGCACGGGUGAGUAACACGUAUCCAACCUGCCGACAACACUGGGAUAGCCUUUCGAAAGAAAGAUUAAUACCGGAUGGCAUAGUUUUCCCGCAUGGGAUAAUUAUUAAAGAAUUUCGGUUGUCGAUGGGGAUGCGUUCCAUUAGGCAGUUGGCGGGGUAACGGCCCACCAAACCAACGAUGGAUAGGGGUUCUGAGAGGAAGGUCCCCCACAUUGGAACUGAGACACGGUCCAAACUCCUACGGGAGGCAGCAGUGAGGAAUAUUGGUCAAUGGACGAGAGUCUGAACCAGCCAAGUAGCGUGAAGGAUGACUGCCCUAUGGGUUGUAAACUUCUUUUAUACGGGAAUAAAGUUAGCCACGUGUGGUUUUUUGUAUGUACCGUAUGAAUAAGGAUCGGCUAACUCCGUGCCAGCAGCCGCGGUAAUACGGAGGAUCCGAGCGUUAUCCGGAUUUAUUGGGUUUAAAGGGAGCGUAGGCGGGUUGUUAAGUCAGUUGUGAAAGUUUGCGGCUCAACCGUAAAAUUGCAGUUGAUACUGGCGACCUUGAGUGCAACAGAGGUAGGCGGAAUUCGUGGUGUAGCGGUGAAAUGCUUAGAUAUCACGAAGAACUCCGAUUG